ACGGCUCAGUAACACGUGGACAACCUACCCUGAAGUGAGGGAUAAUCCCGGGAAACUGGGGAUAAUACCUCAUAGACUAUGAAUGCUGGAAUGCUUUGUAGUUCAAAGGUCCGCCGCUUCAGGAUGGGUCUGCGGCCGAUUAGGUUGUUGUUGGGGUAACGGCCCAACAAGCCUGUAAUCGGUACGGGUUGUGGGAGCAAGAGCCCGGAGAUGGAUUCUGAGACACGAAUCCAGGCCCUACGGGGCGCAGCAGGCGCGAAAACUUUGCAAUGCGAGCAAUCGUGACAAGGGAACUCCGAGUGCCUGUAAAAUCAGGCUGUCCGCCAGUUUAAAUAACUGGCGAAGAAAGGGCCGGGCAAGACCGGUGCCAGCCGCCGCGGUAAUACCGGCGGCUCGAGUGGUGGCCACUAUUACUGGGCUUAAAGCGUUCGUAGCUGGCUUGUUAAGUCUCUGGGGAAAUCUUCCGGCUCAACCGGAAGGCGUCUCAGGAUACUGGCAG
rnacentral:rRNA from 1 species